ensembl:lncRNA IDI2-AS1 IDI2 antisense RNA 1
UGGUUGAACGGACUCACCAGGAAACGUGACUUUCGUGUCCGACCUCUGCUGUAUCAGGAUUCGAUUCUUGGUGUUAAACAAGACAACGCUGAAGGCUCGGUGCAGCAGCCCUGCAAAGGUUUUUCCAGCGCUCUUGGGAGGUGGGCUGUGCCACUGCCUGGCCCACCUGGCCCACCUGGCCCACCAUUACCUGAAGGGAAGCAUGAACAGCCUUUGACGUGGGAGUGGCGACUGCUGAGAGGGAACUGUCUGUACACAAGCAAUGUAGCCUUAUGGGACCUGUGAGUAUAUGCUUAAGUUUUUUUUGUGUUUUUUUUUUUUGGUUGAGAUGGAGUCUCGCUCUGUCACCCAGGCUGGAGUGCAGUGGCACGAUCUCGGCUCACUGCAAGCUCCGUCUCCUGGAUUCACACACCAUUCUCCUGCCUCAGCCUCCCGAGUAGCUGGGACUACAGGCACCUACCACUGCGCCCUGCUAAUUUUUGUAUUUUUACUAGAGAUGGGGUUUCCCCAUGUUGGCCAGGCUGGUCUCAAAACUCCUGACCUCGUGAUCCGCCCGCCUCGACCUCCCAAAGUGCUGGGAUUACAGGCGUGAGCCACUGCGCCCGGCCAAUGCUUAAGUUUUUAUUCAUAAUUUACUCAAAGUCACUGAGCUCUGACUUCAUGCUGGUGAUUCAGAUUUGAGUCCUGGGAAGAUCAUCUGAGAUGACGUUUAAGCCAAGGGUUUAAAUGAGUCAUAUUCAGCCAGGUGCAGACUAAGGCAGUGCAGGUUCCAGGCAGAAGGGAAAGCACGUGGACACGCUGAGAUGCAGGCAAGGCCUCACAGCCAGAGCUGGCUUGUCACCUGGCGUGGGAACACCUUUCCUCUUCAGACUCUGUGUGUUCCUUUUAAUCUGCGUCAGGGCAUGUGAUUGAGCAGCACGUGACCAACCCCACUGCGGCAUCUGUCCCCCGUGGGGUGGGGGUGGGGACAGAGUUCUUUUCCUACAGCAUAAGUGUGUCAUGUCAACCAACGCCGUGUCAGCUGCCUGCAGGGGCCCACGGGCAUGGGGACCCGACGUACACCGUGGGAGCUGACCUUUCUUUCUUCUCUCAGGAGUGGAGCCCCAACCCACGCAGGGCGUGUCUUCAUGGCUUUUCCUGGCCAAUCUGAUACCAAGAUGCAGUGGCCAGAAGUACCUGCACUUCCACUCCUGUCAAGUCUCUGCAUGGCUAUGGUGAGGAAGAGCUCUGCACUGGGCAAGGAAGUUGGCCGUCGAGUGAAGGAAAUGGUGAUGCUGGUGGCCCCUUUCCGGCAGUCAAGUUCCCUAUCAAGGACAUUCAGUUCUCGGAAAGUGGUGAAGGCACAUGCUUCCCUGCAUGGUGCCCGCCUCUCUCCACUCUCUAGAAAUAUUAGAGGCUAGGCUGCUGCUGUAUGUCAGGGCUAGUCCCUCUUCUAUGAAUCCAGAAUAACUCUGAAGAAGCCGAGUAACAGGCAUGAAGUGAAGAGAAAUCGCUGUAACAGGAAGACAGCAAAGCAGAUGCUAAUGACCACACUAUUUAACGAACUGGAACCAACGAGAAAAUACGGUAUUACUGAAGACUGCACUUCCUUGAACAGAGUGCUCUUCUCAGCAAAUCGGAAAUGCCUACACAAAUCGCUUUACAAGAAAGACUGUUUCAAAGCAGCACCUUUCUCAAUGUUCUCGUUCAGGUGACAAUUCUUCUUGGUCUCAGCUCCAAUUUUAUUGUCAUUUUCAUCAAUAAGGAUACACAUCUCUGCCAGGAGUUGAACCUGUUGCUUGUCGAGGUGGUUAGUGUUUAUUUCAGGCAUCAUUACAAAAUGUCUGAUCUGUUCU